rnacentral:rRNA from 1 species
UACAGAGGUCUCGAGCGUUGUUCGGAUUCAUUGGGCGUAAAGGGUGUGUAGGUGGCGCGCUAAGUCGGGUGUGAAAUUUCGGAGCUUAACUCCGGAACUGCAUUCGAUACUGGCGUGCUUGAGGACUGGAGAGGAGACUGGAAUUUACGGUGUAGCAGUGAAAUGCGUAGAUAUCGUAAGGAAGACCAGUGGCGAAGGCGGGUCUCUGGACAGUUCCUGACACUGAGACACGAAGGCCAGGGGAGCAAACGGG